CUACGGGCCGCAGCAGGCGAGAAAACUUUGCAAUGUGCGAAAGCACGACAAGGUUAAUCCGAGUGGUUUCUGCUAAAGGAACCUUUUGUCGGUCCUAGAAACACCGAUGAAUAAGGGGUGGGCAAGUUCUGGUGUCAGACGCCGCGGUAAAACCAGCACCUCAAGUGGUCAGGAUGAUUAUUGGGCCUAAAGCAUCCGUAGCCGGCUCUGUAAGUGUUCGGUUAAAUCUGUAUGCUCAACAUACAGGCUGCCGGGAAUACUGCAUAGCUAGGGAGUGGGAGAGGUAGACGGUACUCGGUAGGAAGGGGUAAAAUCCUUUGAUCUAUUGAUGACCACCUGUGGCGAAGGCGGUCUACCAGAACACGUCCGACGGUGAGGGAUGAAAGCUGGGGGAGCAAACCGGAUUAGAUACCCGGGUAGUC
rnacentral:rRNA from 1 species